rnacentral:rRNA from 1 species
AGCGAACGCUGGCGGCAGGCUUAACACAUGCGAGUCGAACGGUCCUUCGGGAUAGUGGCGGACGGGUGAGUAACACGUGGGAACGUACCCUUAGGUUCGGAACAACACAGGGAAACUUGUGCUAAUACCGGAUAAGCCCUUCGGGGGAAAGAUUUAUCGCCUUUGGAGCGGCCCGCGUCUGAUUAGCUUGUUGGUGAGGUAAUGGCUCACCAAGGCUACGAUCAGUAGCUGGUCUGAGAGGAUGGCCAGCCACACUGGGACUGAGACACGGCCCAGACUCCUACGGGAGGCAGCAGUGGGGAAUCUUGCGCAAUGGGCGAAAGCCUGACGCAGCCAUGCCGCGUGGAUGAUGAAGGUCUUAGGAUUGUAAAAUCCUUUCACCGGGGACGAUAAUGACGGUACCCGGAGAAGAAGCCCCGGCUAACUUCGUGCCAGCAGCCGCCGCCG